GAUGAACGCUGGCGGCGUGCUUAACACAUGCAAGUCGAACGGUGAAGCCAAGCUUGCUUGGUGGAUCAGUGGCGAACGGGUGAGUAACACGUGAGCAACCUGCCCUGGACUCUGGGAUAAGCGCUGGAAACGGCGUCUAAUACUGGAUAUGAGACGUGAUCGCAUGGUCAACGUUUGGAAAGAUUUUUCGGUCUGGGAUGGGCUCGCGGCCUAUCAGCUUGUUGGUGAGGUAAUGGCUCACCAAGGCGUCGACGGGUAGCCGGCCUGAGAGGGUGACCGGCCACACUGGGACUGAGACACGGCCCAGACUCCUACGGGAGGCAGCAGUGGGGAAUAUUGCACAAUGGGCGGAAGCCUGAUGCAGCAACGCCGCGUGAGGGAUGACGGCCUUCGGGUUGUAAACCUCUUUUAGCAGGGAAGAAGCGAAAGUGACGGUACCUGCAGAAAAAGCGCCGGCUAACUACGUGCCAGCAGCCGCGGUAAUACGUAGGGCGCAAGCGUUAUCCGGAAUUAUUGGGCGUAAAGAGCUCGUAGGCGGUUUGUCGCGUCUGCUGUGAAAUCCCGAGGCUCAACCUCGGGCCUGCAGUGGGUACGGGCAGACUAGAGUGCGGUAGGGGAGAUUGGAAUUCCUGGUGUAGCGGUGGAAUGCGCAGAUAUCAGGAGGAACACCGAUGGCGAAGGCAGAUCUCUGGGCCGUAACUGACGCUGAGGAGCGAAAGGGUGGGGAGCAAACAGGCUUAGAUACCCUGGUAGUCCACCCCGUAAACGUUGGGAACUAGUUGUGGGGACCAUUCCACGGUUUCCGUGACGCAGCUAACGCAUUAAGUUCCCCGCCUGGGGAGUACGGCCGCAAGGCUAAAACUCAAAGGAAUUGACGGGGACCCGCACAAGCGGCGGAGCAUGCGGAUUAAUUCGAUGCAACGCGAAGAACCUUACCAAGGCUUGACAUACACCAGAACGGGCCAGAAAUGGUCAACUCUUUGGACACUGGUGAACAGGUGGUGCAUGGUUGUCGUCAGCUCGUGUCGUGAGAUGUUGGGUUAAGUCCCGCAACGAGCGCAACCCUCGUUCUAUGUUGCCAGCACGUAAUGGUGGGAACU
rnacentral:rRNA from 6 species